GUUGUCUGCUUUACUUUCUCCUCCAUGCAAACUUCCCUAGCCUGGGUGGGAUGAGUUAAGAAGGAUACACUCCAGGAUGGAGGUGAAGGAUGAAAGAUGGAGAAGGAGAAUCAGACCUGUGGGCAUUCUGCUGGUCAUCCCAAAGGCGAGAGAUGGGACUGAGAGCUUGGGCUCUCACACCUGUGUGCAGAGCACCUGCAACGGCCUCCAAGGAGAGUGGAGAAGAACUGUGUAGGAUGGAGGCUUUUGCUUUUCAUGAGUAUCCCUGGGACCUGGAUAGUGGAACUUCUGAGGCACAGCAAAUGCACCCACCUCAGCAUCCCUCAGUCUGUGCUCUAUUGCCCAGGCAUGACAGUCACAGCCUGUAUUAUGCUGAACUUGUGACAAUGAUCCACAGCUGGCCACAGUGCAAUAUUAUCUUUGCAAGAGACUAGUCA